GACGAACGCUGGCGGCGUGCUUAACACAUGCAAGUCGAACGGAAAGGCCCUGCUUUUGUGGGGGGCUCGAGGGGCGAACGGGUGAAUAACACGUGAGUAACCUGCCCUUGACUUUGGGAUAACUUCAGGAAGCUGGGGCUAAUACCGGAAAGGAGCUCCUGCUGCAUGGUGGGGGGUGGAAAGUUUCGGCGGUUGGGGAUGGACUCGGGGCUUAUCAGCUUGUUGGUGGGGUAGUGGCUUACCAAGGCUUUGACGGGGAGCCGGCCUGAGAGGGUGACCGGCCACAUUGGGACUGAGACACCGCCCAGACGCCUACGGGAGGCAGGAGUGGGGAAUAUUGCACAAUGGGCGGAAGCCUGAUGCAGCAACGCCGCGUGCGGGAUGACGGCCUUCGGGUUGUAAACCGCUUUCGCCUGUGACGAAGCGUGAGUGACGGUAAUGGGUAAAGAAGCACCGGCUAACUACGUG
rnacentral:rRNA from 1 species